CACUCUCCUGCCGCUUCCAGGACAAAGAGAAAUCCCUGUCGGAUCAGAGGCGCUACUCCCUCAUCGACCCGUCCUCGGCGCCCGAGCUCCUGCGGCUGCAGCAUCAGCUGAUGAGCACGGAGGACGCCCUGCGGGACGCACUGGACCAGGCUCAGCAGGUGGAGAAGCUGAUGGAGGCCAUGAGGAGCUGCCCUGACAAGGCCCAGAUCAUUGGCAAUUCCGGUUCUGCAAACGGCAUCCACCAGCAGGACAAAGCCCAGAAACAAGAGGACAAGCACUGACCCUGAGGGGAUACCGUGUGGAGUGGUCCAGUCCACACCAGAGCCCCCUUGCGCGGCUGCCCGGCAGCACCUCCUCCAGGCAGGAGCCGGGACUGUCACUUUGGAGACAAAACAGUGUUUGUAACAAUAACGUACUCACCGCCGCGGACAAUCCCCCACCCUGAUCCCCUGCCAGACCAGGACGCUUCCUCAAGCCCAGCCUUCCACAGAGAGUGUGAACGGUACAGCCCCGGCCUGACCCGGGGACCUUCGGCCUGGACGCCCGGCAGCUUCUGGAUUUUGUCAGUGGAGGCAGAGGGUAUCCGGCCAGGACCCUCUGUCCAGAAGGAGCUGCCCUUAGGACCAUCUUAGUGCCCCUGUCCUCUUUUUCUGCCCGUUCUCCCUCGGGUCUUCCCAGAGGGGCUGGUGGGGGGGAGGGGGGCAGGGUGGGGCUAAGUUUGUCCAUGCAGGCACCAAGAGGGAACGUCCAGUCUUUAAGAGCCAAGUGGGGGCCCCUUUUCCGAAGCCACUUCCAGGCCAAGGCAGUCCCCAGGGCUUCUUGUCCCCACCUUCUGAACCUUCUUCAAACAGUGGUACCAGUUCCCCUCAGCCAGCCUGCCUGCCCAGCGAGGCCCCCAGGUUCAAGGUGUUGGCGGGGGCGGAGGGCAGGGGAACAGGAUCUUUCUCCCACCGCCCACCAACACCAACACACACACACCUCUAAGCUGCUGGCCGAAGAUGUCACCAAGGCCAGAGACGCAGUGUUACGAAGGUUUGGAAGCCCCUCUCCUCACCUCCCACCGUGACCUUGGGCAAACCCAGACUCAGAGCCCAGGGCAGAGGCAGCUCAGAGUGGAGGCUCUAGGCAGGUCAAAGGUCAGUAAUACGGUUUCCCCUGGGGUUGACCAGAUGUUCCAAACAUCUGCACCCACCUGCAGAUGCAUCUAAGUAGGUCCUUAUGUGCACGCCACGUUCACACACACACACACACACACACACACACGCACGCACUCAGAGGGACCACGUGUGCACAGAUGACCGUGUGGGUGAGUGGCGGUGUUUGAGUGGGUGGUGGCGUUUGCUGUGAACCAUGCUCAGGCCACACAGAGACACAUACUUGGUUUCUGGGACUGAGACCCAGGCCUGGCAGGACCGUGCCCACAGAUACUGCAAAUGUUCCUACAGCCUAGAGGUGCUGUAUACACACACAAGUACACACAGCCAGGCAUUCGGGGUGUGGGUGCCACAUGGAACAUCCCUUCCUGGUCUUGCCAGGCACCUGCACAGAGCGUCUCCAGCCCCAUCUCCUAACAGGGGCUGGGGGUAAGAGAAAUCUAACUGCCCCCCCGCCCCGCGUCUUCCCCUCAAGCCUGCUAAGUUAUUCCAGGCCUGUGCGUGGUGGAAAAAGCCAGCCUUGGCCCUGCAGCCUCCACCUCUCUGCUGGAGGACUGACAGGUUGCUUACAGCUUUGCACCUCGGCAUCAGCACAGGGGGCCUUGCCCCACCCUCCGGCAGCUCAGGGAGUGUUUUCCUGUGAGGCCUCCCCCAUCAGGGGACCAGAAGAAGCCCGAUGCCCCGUCCCGGCUUUCCCAAAAUGCGCAGGACACGUGUGCAAUUCAUAGGAACGGCCCAGGUUGCCCUCGUGAGUACCACCUGCUACAGGUAGGUGGCGCUCACGUUCCUGCCCAAAUGCAGCCUAUCGGGCAGGAGGUCCCCCCGGCCCACCUCCCAGUCCCUGUUGGCUUUUGGUAGCUCUCGCAUGCAGUUCUAUUAACAGCUGUCUAGAAGCGAUGCUUUAGUGGCCUAACCCACGGUCAAAUACAGCUCUUUCUAGCAAAAUCAGGCAGCUCUGCCCCAUCUGCAGGGGCACCGAUUAGUCUACUAACAGCCAGAGGUCCACCUAGCCGAGCGCUGGGAGAAGCUGAGCCGCCGGAGGUGGGCUCCUGGUGAUGGGUGUCCAAGAAGCAGUUUCCCUGGGAGCUUCUGCCUCCGUGGGCCUCUCAGCCUGCCUGGUGUGGCCACCCGGGCGUGGCUCAGCCAUGUCCCCUCCCCAGGUCCUUCCUGUGCCCCUCCCCUCCCCACAGUGGAAUUGUUGAAGUGUGGCGAGUCUGUGCUCGGGACAAUAAAGCUUGUGACAGGUCCAGGACCCC